AUACGUAGGGUGCAAGCGUUAAUCGGAAUUACUGGGCGUAAAGCGUGCGCAGGCGGUUUUGUGAGACAGUGGUGAAAUCCCCGGGCUCAACCUGGGAACUGCCAUUGUGACUGCAAGGCUGGAGUGCGGCAGAGGGGGAUGGAAUUCCGCGUGUAGCAGUGAAAUGCGUAGAUAUGCGGAGAAACACCGAUGGCGAAGGCAAUCCCCUGGGCCUGCACUGACGCUCAUGCACGAAAGCGGGGGGAGCAAACAGGAUUAGAUACCCUGGUAGUCCACGCCCUAAACGAUGUCAACUGGUUGUUGGGGAUUUAUUUUCUCAGUAACGAAGCUAACGCGUGAAGUUGACCGCCUGGGGAGUACGGCCGCAAGGUUAAAACUUAAAUGAAUUGACGGGU
rnacentral:rRNA from 1 species